AGGCCAGUGGCUUAAUUGGUAGAGCACCGGACUCCAAAUCCGGCGGUUGGGGGUUCGAGCCCCUCCUGGCCUGCCA
rnacentral:tRNA from 1 species